rnacentral:rRNA from 1 species
UACGUAGGGAGCAAGCGUUUGUCCGGAAUCAUUGGGCGUAAAGCGCGCGUAGGUGGCUUCGUAAGUCCGUUGUGAAAGUCAAAGGCUCAACCUUUGAAAGCCGAUGGAUACUGCGGAGCUAGAGUACGGAAGAGGCGAGUGGAAUUCCUGGUGUAGCGGUGGAAUGCGCAGAUAUCAGGAGGAACACCGGUGGCGAAGGCGGGACUCUGGGCCGAUACUGACGCUGAGGAGCGAAAGCGUGGGGAGCGAACAGG